rnacentral:rRNA from 1 species
AACACGUGAGUAACCUGCCCUUGACUCUGGGAUAAGCCUGGGAAACUGGGUCUAAUACCGGAUAUGACCCCUCAUCGCAUGGUGGGGGGUGGAAAGCUUUUGUGGUUUUGGAUGGACUCGCGGCCUAUCAGCUUGUUGGUGGGGUAAUGGCCUACCAAGGCGACGACGGGUAGCCGGCCUGAGAGGGUGACCGGCCACACUGGGACUGAGACACGGCCCAGACUCCUACGGGAGGCAGCAGUGGGGAAUAUUGCACAAUGGGCGCAAGCCUGAUGCAGCGACGCCGCGUGAGGGAUGACGGCCUUCGGGUUGUAAACCUCUUUCAGUAGGGAAGAAGCGUAAGUGACGGUACCUGCAGAAGAAGCGCCGGCUAACUACGUGCCAGCAGCCGCGGUAAUACGUAGGGCGCAAGCGUUAUCCGGAAUUAUUGGGCGUAAAGAGCUCGUAGGCGGUUUGUCGUGUCUGCUGUGAAAGACCGGGGCUCAACUCCGGUUCUGCAGUGGGUACGGGCAGACUAGAGUGCAGUAGGGGAGACUGGAAUUCCUGGUGUAGCGGUGAAAUGCGCAGAUAUCAGGAGGAACACCGAUGGCGAAGGCAGGUCUCUGGGCUGUAACUGACGCUGAGGAGCGAAAGCAUGGGGAGCGAACAGGAUUAGAUACCCUGGUAGUCCAUGCCGUAAACGUUGGGCACUAGGUGUGGGGGACAUUCCACGUUUUCCGCGCCGUAGCUAACGCAUUAAGUGCCCCGCCUGGGGAGUACGGCCGCAAGGCUAAAACUCAAAGGAAUUGACGGGGGCCCGCACAAGCGGCGGAGCAUGCGGAUUAAUUCGAUGCAACGCGAAGAACCUUACCAAGGCUUGACAUGAACCGGAAAGACCUGGAAACAGGUGCCCCGCUUGCGGUCGGUUUACAGGUGGUGCAUGGUUGUCGUCAGCUCGUGUCGUGAGAUGUUGGGUUAAGUCCCGCAACGAGCGCAACCCUCGUUCUAUGUUGCCAGCGGUUCGGCCGGGGACUCAUAGGAGACUGCCGGGGUCAACUCGGAGGAAGGUGGGGACGACGUCAAAUCAUCAUGCCCCUUAUGUCUUGGGCUUCACGCAUGCUACAAUGGCCGGUACAAAGGGUUGCGAUACUGUGAGGUNNNGCUAAUCCCAAAAAGCCGGUCUCAGUUCGGAUUGGGGUCUGCAACUCGACCCCAUGAAGUCGGAGUCGCUAGUAAUCGCAGAUCAGCAACGCUGCGGUGAAUACGUUCCCGGGCCUUGUCACACCGCCCGUCAAGUCACGAAAG